GAAUGAAGAACGCAGUGAAAUGCGAUACGUAGUGUGAAUUGCAGAAUUCAGUGAAUCAUCGAAUCUUUGAACGCACAUUGCACCUCUCGGUAUUCCGGGAGGUAUGCCUGUUCGAGCGUCAUUUGUACCCUCAAGCUCUGCUUGGUGUUGGGUGUUUGUUCCGCCUCUGUGUGUGAACUCGCCUCAAAACAAUUGGCAGCCGGCGUACUUGUUUCGGAGCGCAGCACAUUUUGCGAUCCAGAUCAACGUACAGCGGCAUCCAAGAAGCCUUAUUUAACGCUCUUGACCUCGGAUCAGGUAGGGAUACCCGCUGAACUUAAGCAUAUCAAUAAGCGGAGGA
rnacentral:misc_RNA from 1 species